rnacentral:rRNA from 1 species
UACGGGGGGGGCAAGCGUUGUUCGGAAUUACUGGGCGUAAAGGGCUCGUAGGCGGCCAACUAAGUCCGACGUGGAAUCCCAAGGCUUAACCUUGGAACUGCGUCGGAUACUGGAUGGCUAGAGUUUGGGAGAGGGAUGCGGAAUUCCAGGUGUAGCGGUGAAAUGCGUAGAUAUCUGGAGGAACACCGGUGGCGAAGGCGGCAUCCUGGACCAACACUGACGCUGAGGAGCGAAAGCCAGGGGAGCAAACGGG